UACGGAGGGCGCAAGCGUUGUUCGGAAUCACUGGGCGUAAAGCGCGUGCAGGCGGCUUGGUAAGUCGGGUGUGAAAUCCCGGAGCUCAACUCCGGAACUGCACCCGAUACUGCCUCGCUAGAGUCCCGGAGAGGAUGGCGGAAUUUCCGGUGUAGAGGUGAAAUUCGUAGAUCUCGAGAGGAACACCAAUGGCGAAGGCAGCUUCUUGGUCCAACCCUGACACUGAGGCACGAAAGCGUGGGGAGCAAACAGG
rnacentral:rRNA from 1 species